AGCCGCGCGGUAAUACCCGCAGCUCAAGUGGUGGCCACUAUUAUUGAGCCUAAAGCGUCCGUAGCCGGUCUUUGUAAAUCUCUGGGUAAAUCCCAUCGCUCAACGGUGGGAAGACUGGAGAGACUGCAAGACUAGGGAUUCGGGUGAGGUAAGAGGUACUCCUGGGGUAGGGGUAAAAUCCUGUAAUCCUGGGGGGACGACCGGUGGCGAAGGCGUCUUACUAGAACGACUCCGACGGUGAGGGACGAAGGCUAGGGGAGCAAACCGGAUUAGAUACCCGGGUAGUCCUAGCUGUAAACGCUGCCCACUUGGUGUUGCCCUUUCGUAGGGAAGGGGCGGUGCCGGAGCGAAGGUGUUAAGUGGGCCGCUUGGGGAGUAUGGUCGCAAGGCUGAAACUUAAAGGAAUUGGCGGGAGAGCACCGCAACGGGAGGAGCGUGCGGCUUAAUUGGAUUCAACGCCGGAAAACUCACCAGGAGAGACCAUGGUAUGAGAGUCAACCUGAAGAGCUUACUCGAUUACAUGGAGAAGUGGUGCAUGGCCGUCGUCAGCUCGUACCGUAAAGCGUUCGCUUAAGUGUGAUAACGAGCGAGACCCCCAUCCACAUUUGCUAAUAUAAUCACGAGAUUAUAUGCACUAUGUGGAGAC
rnacentral:rRNA from 1 species